AACGAACGCUGGCGGCGUGCCUAACACAUGCAAGUCGAACGUGAUUGGAAACUUGCUUCCAUGAAAGUGGCGCACGGGUGAGUAACGCGUAGAUAAUCUACCUGACGGAUCGGGAUAACACUUCGAAAGGGGUGCUAAUACCGGAUAAGCCCACGGAGUCCUUGGACACUGCGGGAAAAGGAGGGGACCUUCGGGCCUUCCGCCAUCAGAUGAGUCUGCGUACAAUUAGCUAGUUGGUGGGGUAAAGGCCUACCAAGGCGACGAUGGUUAGCUGGUCUGAGAGGAUGAUCAGCCACACUGGAACUGAGACACGGUCCAGACUCCUACGGGAGGCAGCAGUGGGGAAUUUUGCGCAAUGGGGGAAACCCUGACGCAGCAACGCCGCGUGAGUGAUGAAGGCCCUUGGGUCGUAAAGCUCUGACAGAGGGAAAGAAAUGCAGGUGACUAAUACCCAUUCUGCUUGACGGUGCCCUCAAAGGAAGCACCGGCUAACUCCGUGCCAGCAGCCGCCGUAAUAC
rnacentral:rRNA from 1 species